rnacentral:rRNA from 1 species
GGACGAACGCUGGCGGCGUGCCUAACACAUGCAAGUCGAGCGGAGUCAGUAAGAGGAAGUUUCGGAUGGAAUCUUGUUGAUUUAGCGGCGGACGGGUGAGUAACGCGUGAGCGACCAACCUUGCACAGGGGGAUAACGGACCGAAAGGUUCACUAAUACCGCAUGAGACCACGGUGUUGCAUGACACAGAGGUCAAAGGAGCAAUCCGGUGCAAGACGGGCUCGCGUCCGAUUAGGAAGUUGGAGGGUAACGGCCCACCAAGCCUAUGAUCGGUAGCCGACCUGAGAGGGUGAUCGGCCACAUUGGAACUGAGAUACGGUCCAAACUCCUACGGGAGGCAGCAGUGGGGAAUAUUGGGCAAAUGGGGGAAACCCUGACCCAGCAACGCCGCGUGAAGGAAGAAGGUUUUUCGGAUUGUAAACUUCUGUCCUUGGUGAAGAGAAGAAGACGGUAGCCAAGGAGGAAGCCCCGGCUAACUACGUGCCAGCCGCCGC